rnacentral:tRNA from 1 species
UCUAAUAUGACAGAAUAGUGUGAUGGAUCUAAGCCCCAUUUAUAAAGCUUAAGCUUUUUUUAGAA